rnacentral:rRNA from 1 species
UACGUAGGGUGCAAGCGUUAAUCGGAAUUACUGGGCGUAAAGCGUGCGCAGGCGGUUAUGUAAGACAGUUGUGAAAUCCCCGGGCUCAACCUGGGAACUGCAUCUGUGACUGCAUCGCUGGAGUGCGGCAGAGGGGGAUGGAAUUCCGCGUGUAGCAGUGAAAUGCGUAGAUAUGCGGAGGAACACCGAUGGCGAAGGCAAUCCCCUGGGCCUGCACUGACGCUCAUGCACGAAAGCGUGGGGAGCAAACAGG